rnacentral:rRNA from 1 species
AUUGAACGCUGGCGGCAUGCCUUACACAUGCAAGUCGAACGGCAGCACGGGAGCUUGCUCCUGGUGGCGAGUGGCGAACGGGUGAGUAAUACAUCGGAACGUACCCUGAAGUGGGGGAUAACGUAGCGAAAGUUACGCUAAUACCGCAUAUUCUGUGAGCAGGAAAGAGGGGGAUCGCAAGACCUCUUGCUUUAGGAGCGGUCGAUGUCGGAUUAGCUAGUUGGUGAGGUAAAGGCUCACCAAGGCGACGAUCCGUAGCGGGUCUGAGAGGAUGAUCCGCCACACUGGAACUGAGACACGGUCCAGACUCCUACGGGAGGCAGCAGUGGGGAAUUUUGGACAAUGGGCGCAAGCCUGAUCCAGCCAUGCCGCGUGAGUGAAGAAGGCCUCGG